GAUGAACGCUGGCGGCGUGCCUAAUACAUGCAAGUCGAGCGAACGGACGAGAAGCUUGCUUCUCUGAUGUUAGCGGCGGACGGGUGAGUAACACGUGGAUAACCUACCUAUAAGACUGGGAUAACUUCGGGAAGCCGGAGCUAAUACCGGAUGAUAUUUUGAACCGCAUGGUUCAAAAGUGAAAGACGGUCUUGCUGUCACUUAUAGAUGGAUCCGCGCUGCAUUAGCUAGUUGGUAAGGUAACGGCUUACCAAGGCAACGAUGCAUAGCCUACCUGAGAGGGUGAUCGGCCACACUGGAACUGAGACACGGUCCAGACUCCUACGGGAGGCAGCAGUAGGGAAUCUUCCGCAAUGGGCGAAAGCCUGACGGAGCAACGCCGCGUGAGUGAUGAAGGUCUUCGGAUCGUAAAACUCUGUUAUUAGGGAAGAACAUAUGUGUAAGUAACUGUGCACAUCUUGACGGUACCUAAUCAGAAAGCCACGGCUAACUACGUG
rnacentral:rRNA from 1 species